GGGGGUGAUCGGUUUCGACUGCGGCUGUCGAAGCAGAGGAAGCGAGCCGAGGAAGCGACAAUGAUCUCGUUAACCAUAUGUCGCAAACAAAUAAUCGCCGAUACCAAGCGCGAUUCCUUCGCCCUCGCUGCCUAAGCGAGUAUCCGAAGGUGUCAGACCGGGUGCGUCCCCGCCCCGGACCCUGGCAUAAUCUAGGGGACUUCACCGCCCGACCCGGUUACGGGGUCGUUCGGGACAAAAAACAGUAACUGGGCCCGUCGGUGUCUUGUCCACGUGAACACCGGGGCCGAGAAAAUCGUUGUGGACUGCGCUCGGAGAAGCUCUGGUUCCGCACCGUAGGACGCGGGUUCAAUUCCCGCCACCUCCACCC
rfam:Streptomyces scabrisporus strain NF3 contig1, whole genome shotgun sequence.